GACGAACGCUGGCGGCGUGCCUAAUACAUGCAAGUAGAACGCUGAAGGAGGAGCUUGCUUCUCUGGAUGAGUUGCGAACGGGUGAGUAACGCGUAGGUAACCUGCCCGGUAGCGGGGGAUAACUAUUGGAAACGAUAGCUAAUACCGCAUAAGAGUAGAUGUUGCAUGACAUUUGCUUAAAAGGUGCAAUUGCAUCACUA
rnacentral:rRNA from 1 species